GUAGGUGAACCUGCGGAAGGAUCAUUACCGAGAUGGGGGCCCCCCGCCGGGGCCCGCGCCUCCCACCCCGUGCGUAUCGUCCCCCGAAUCCCGGUUUCCCGCCCCGGCCCCCCGGGGCCCGCGGGCGGGACCCCCCUUUCCAAACUCCGCGCGAAUCCGUGCCGUCUGAGUGGUGAUGCGAAUCGACAAAACUUUCAACAACGGAUCUCUUGGUUCUG
rnacentral:misc_RNA from 1 species